rnacentral:tRNA from 1 species
GGCCUGGUGGUCUAGUAGUAUGAUUCCUUCUUAGGGCUGCGAAGCAUUUGGAGGAGGUCCCGGGUUCAAUUCCCGGCCAGGCCC